rnacentral:misc_RNA from 1 species
GAUGAAGAACGCAGCGAAAUGCGAUAAGUGGUGUGAAUUGCAGAAUUCAGUGAAUCAUCGAAUCUUUGAACGCACAUUGCGCCCCUUGGUAUCCCGAGGGGCAUGCCUGUUCGAGCGUCAUUUCACCACUCAAGCCUGGCUUGGUGUUGGGCGACGUCCUCUUUGGGGACGCGCCUCGAAACGCUCGGCGGCGUGGCACCGGCUUUAAGCGUAGCAGAAUCUUUCGCUUUGGAAGUCGGGGCCCCGUCUGCCGGAAGACCUGCUCGCAAGGUUGACCUCGGAUCAGGCAGGGAUACCCGCUGAACUUAAGCAUAUCAAUAAGCGGAGGA